UACCUCAUCGACCAGAAGGAUUUCCUUCAGGUCAAUGAGGUUGUUAUACCUCAUCGACCGGAAGGAAUCCCUUCUGGUUGAUGAGGUU
rnacentral:miRNA from 1 species